rnacentral:rRNA from 1 species
AGUUUGAUCCUGGCUCAGGACGAACGCUGGCGGCGUGCCUAAUACAUGCAAGUCGUACGCUUCUUUUUCCACCGGAGCUUGCUCCACCGGAAAAAGAAGAGUGGCGAACGGGUGAGUAACACGUGGGUAACCUGCCCAUCAGAAGGGGAUAACACUUGGAAACAGGUGCUAAUACCGUAUAACAAUCGAAACCGCAUGGUUUUGAUUUGAAAGGCGCUUUYGGGUGUCGCUGAUGGAUGGACCCGCGGUGCAUUAGCUAGUUGGUGAGGUAACGGCUCACCAAGGCYACGAUGCAUAGCCGACCUGAGAGGGUGAUCGGCCACAUUGGGACUGAGACACGGCCCAAACUCCUACGGGAGGCAGCAGUAGGGAAUCUUCGGCAAUGGACGAAAGUCUGACCGAGCAACGCCGCGUGAGUGAAGAAGGUUUUCGGAUCGUAAAACUCUGUUGUUAGAGAAGAACAAGGAUGAGAGUAACUGUUCAUCCCUUGACGGUAUCUAACCAGAAAGCCACGGCUAACUACGUGCCAGCAGCCGCGGUAAUACGUAGGUGGCAAGCGUUGUCCGGAUUUAUUGGGCGUAAAGCGAGCGCAGGCGGUUUCUUAAGUCUGAUGUGAAAGCCCCCGGCUCAACCGGGGAGGGUCAUUGGAAACUGGGAGACUUGAGUGCAGAAGAGGAGAGUGGAAUUCCAUGUGUAGCGGUGAAAUGCGUAGAUAUAUGGAGGAACACCAGUGGCGAAGGCGGCUCUCUGGUCUGUAACUGACGCUGAGGCUCGAAAGCGUGGGGAGCAAACAGGAUUAGAUACCCUGGUAGUCC